AACCUUUACACUGCACGACAGUGCGAUAAGGGGACUCCGAGUGCGAGGGCAUACAGUCCUCGCUUUUCUGUACCGUAGGGUGGUACAGGAACAAGUGCUGGGCAAGACCGGUGCCAGCCGCCGCGGUAAUACCGGCAGCACGAGUGAUGGCCGAUAUUAUUGGGCCUAAAGCGUCCGUAGCUGGCCGGCCAAGUCCGUUGGGAAAUCCACCCGCUUAACGGGUGGGCGUCCAGCGGAAACUGUCCGGCUUGGAGCCGGAGGACCUGAGGGGUACGUCCGGGGUAGGAGUGAAAUCCUGUAAUCCUGGACGGACCGCCGGUGGCGAAAGCGCCUCAGGAAGACGGACUCGACAGUGAGGGACGAAAGCUAGGGUCUCGAACCGGAUUAGAUACCCGGGUAGUCCUAGCUGUAAACAAUGUCCGCCAGGUGGUGGCGCAGGCUACGAGCCUGCGCUGUGCCGUAGGGAAGCCGUGAAGCGGACCGCCUGGGAAGUACGUCUGCAAGGAUGAAACUUAA
rnacentral:rRNA from 1 species